rnacentral:SRP_RNA from 1 species
ACUGGGCUUGGAGGUAUGUGCUUGUAGCCCUAGCUGCUUGAAAGGGUGAGGAGGGAGGAUUGCUUGAGCCCAGGAGCUCUGAGCUGUAGUGAGCUAUGCCAAUUGGCAUCAAUAUGGUGACCUCCCUGGCACAGGGGACCACCAGGUUGCCUGAGGAGGGGUGAACCAGCUCAGGUUGGAAAUGGAGCAGGUCAAAAUUCCCAUGAUGAUCAGUAGUGAGAUCAUGCCUGUGAAUAGCCAUUACACUUCAGCCUGGGCAACAUAGCAAGAAUCUCUCUCU